CCUGGUAGUCCACGCCGUAAACGAUGAGUGCUAGGUGUUGGGGGGUUCCACCCUCAGUGCUGACGUUAACACAUUAAGCACUCCGCCUGGGGAGUACGACCGCAAGGUUGAAACUCAAAGGAAUUGACGGGGGCCCGCACAAGCAGUGGAGCAUGUGGUUUAAUUCGAAGCAACGCGAAGAACCUUACCAGGUCUUGACAUCCUUCGCUACUUCCAGAGAUGGAAGGUUCCCCUUCGGGGGACGAAGUGACAGGUGGUGCAUGGUUGUCGUCAGCUCGUGUCGUGAGAUGUUGGGUUAAGUCCCGCAACGAGCGCAACCCUUGAUCUUAGUUGCCAGCAUUCAGUUGGGCACUCUAAGGUGACUGCCGGUGACAAACCGGAGGAAGGUGGGGACGACGUCAAAUCAUCAUGCCCCUUAUGACCUGGGCUACACACGUGCUACAAUGGAUGGUACAAAGGGCAGCAAAACCGCGAGGUUGAGCGAAUCCCAUAAAGCCAUUCUCAGUUCGGAUUGCAGGCUGCAACUCGCCUGCAUGAAGCCGGAAUUGCUAGUAAUCGCGGAUCAGCAUGCCGCGGUGAAUACGUUCCCGGGCCUUGUACACACCGCCCGUCACACCACGAGAGUUUGUAACACCCGAAGUCGGUGAGGUAA
rnacentral:rRNA from 2 species